rnacentral:rRNA from 1 species
UACGUAGGGGGCAAGCGUUGUCCGGAUUCAUUGGGCGUAAAGAGCGUGUAGGCGGCCAGGUAGGUCUGCUGUGAAAACUCGAGGCUCAACCUCGAGACGUCGGCGGAAACCAUCUGGCUAGAGUCCGGAAGAGGAGAGUGGAAUUCCUGGUGUAGCGGUGAAAUGCGCAGAUAUCAGGAAGAACACCCGUGGCGAAGGCGGCUCUCUGGGACGGUACUGACGCUGAGACGCGAAAGCGUGGGGAGCGAACAGG